rnacentral:rRNA from 1 species
GGAAUAUUGGACAAUGGGCGAAAGCCUGAUCCAGCAAUGCCGCGUGUGUGAAGAAGGCCUUCGGGUUGUAAAGCACUUUCAGUGGGGAAGAAAAGCCGGGUGUCAAUACCACCCAGUGCUGACGUUACACACAGAAGAAGCACCGGCUAACUCCGUCCCAGCAGCCGCGGUAAUACGGAGGGUGCGAGCGUUAAUCGGAAUUACUGGGCGGAAAGGGCGCGUAGGCGGUUCGGCAAGUCGGGUGUGAAAGCCCCGGGCUCAACCUGGGAAUUGCAUUCGAUACUGUCGAGCUGGAGUGUGGUAGAGGGAAGCGGAAUUCCGGGUGUAGCGGUGAAAUGCGUAGAUAUCCGGAGGAACAUCAGUGGCGAAGGCGGCUUCCUGGACCAACACUGACGCUGAGGCGCGAAAGCGUGGGGAGCAAAC